UGCACGCUCCUUAGAUCCACCGUUAGGUUUGUGUAAAAGCAAACUGCCAUUGACGGUGAAUGAGUCAUAAGUGUGCUAGAUCAAUAUACCUCUGCAGUGGCCAUGCUGCUGGACAUCACUGUCCAGUGAUUGGGUCGUUGCAAGGACAAU